UGUGUAGGCGGUUUGUUAAGUCGGAUGUGAAAGCCCUGGGCUUAACCUAGGAAUUGCAUUCGAUACUGGCAAGCUAGAGUACGGUAGAGGGUGGCGGAAUUCCGGGUGUAGCGGUGAAAUGCGUAGAUAUCCGGAGGAACACCGAUGGCGAAGGCAACCACCUGGGCCUGUACUGACGCUGAGACACGAAAGCGUGGGGAGCAAACA
rnacentral:rRNA from 1 species